rnacentral:rRNA from 1 species
AGAGUUUGAUCAUGGCUCAGGACGAACGCUGGCGGCGUGCUUAACACAUGCAAGUCGAGCGGAAAGGCCCUUCGGGGUACCCGAGCGGCGAACGGGUGAGUAACACGUGAGUAACCUGCCCCAGACUUUGGGAUAACCCUCGGAAACGGGGGCUAAUACCGGAUACGACCUUGGUCCGCAUGGAUUCUUGGUGGAAAGUUUUUCGGUUUGGGAUGGGCUCGCGGCCUAUCAGCUUGUUGGUGGGGUGAUGGCCUACCAAGGCGACGACGGGUAGCCGGCCUGAGAGGGCGACCGGCCACACUGGGACUGAGACACGGCCCAGACUCCUACGGGAGGCAGCAGUGGGGAAUAUUGCACAAUGGGCGGAAGCCUGAUGCAGCGACGCCGCGUGAGGGAUGACGGCCUUCGGGUUGUAAACCUCUUUCAGCAGGGACGAAGCGCAAGUGACGGUACCUGCAGAAGAAGCGCCGGCCAACUACGUGCCAGCGGCCGCGGUAAGACGUAGGGCGCGAGCGUUGUCCGGAUUUAUUGGGCGUAAAGAGCUCGUAGGCGGCUUGUCGCGUCGACCGUGAAAACUUGGGGCUCAACCCCAAGCCUGCGGUCGAUACGGGCAGGCUCGAGUUCGGUAGGGGAGACUGGAAUUCCUGGUGUAGCGGUGAAAUGCGCAGAUAUCAGGAGGAACACCGAUGGCGAAGGCAGGUCUCUGGGCCGAUACUGACGCUGAGGAGCGAAAGCGUGGGGAGCGAACAGGAUUAGAUACCCNNGUAGUCC